rnacentral:rRNA from 1 species
CCUACGGGUGGCAGCAGUGAGGAAUAUUGGGCAAUGGACGCGAGUCUGACCCAGCCAAGUAGCGUGAAGGAUGAAUGCCCUAUGGGUUGUAAACUUCUUGUAUGUGGGAGUGAAGUGUUCCGCGUGUGGGAUUUUGUAUGUACCAUAUGAAUAGGGAUCAGCUAACUCCGUACCAGGAGCCGAGGUAAUACGGGGGAUCCGAGCGUUAUCCGGAUUUAUUGGGUUUAAAGGGAGCGUAGGGGGAUUGUUAAGUCAGUUGUGAAAGUUUGCGGCUCAACCGUAAAAUUGCAGUUGAAACUGGCAGUCUUGAGUACAGGAGAGGCGGGCGGAAUUCGUGGUGUAGCGGUGAAAUGCGUAGAUAUCACGAAGAACUCCGAUUGCGAAGGCAGUCCACUGGACUGCAACUGACACUGAGGCUCGAAAGUGUGGGUAUCAAACAGGAUUAGAUACCCUAGUAGUC